UUUUGCUGGACAUUCAGUCCUGCAAGUGAAGACAUUCAGAAUGAAAAUAAUAAAUAGAUCAACAUUGAAAGGAGAAAUUAAGGUUGAAAACGAGUGCACCCGCACGAGCGGGGAUCGAACUCACAACCUCAGUGUUGACUGGCUAGUGAUUACAGAAGUAACUUCUUAGACCACUCGGCCACCGAGACCCUUUAAUGAAGUAUGUCUACGUUUCUAAUCAAAUUCGAAUGUUUUGGGGUUUCAUGAAAUACUACUUACCAACAACUGUUUCAUUAAAAAAAAAAAAGCAUAACAUUUUGGAUAAGAUAAGGAGAUGUGGUAUGAUUGCACAUGAUACUAUACACCGGCGAUCAAUGUGCUAAUUUCAGGAUAUAUAUCGUAGAAAUAAUGAAUUUUUAGAGAAGCUUGAAGAUGUUCAUGCCUCUUUCGUCUACAUAUCUUAAUGAGUUUUUAACGUCUUAAACCCUGACCUCAUCGAAAACUUUGAACUUUGUUUUCAGCAUUUCAGUC
rnacentral:lncRNA from 1 species